rnacentral:rRNA from 1 species
GACGAACGCUGGCGGCGUGCUUAACACAUGCAAGUCGAACGAUGAAGCGCUGUCUUUUUGGUGGUGUGGAUUAGUGGCGAACGGGUGAGUAAUACGCGGGCAACCUGCCCCUCUGCUUCGGGAUAAGCUUUGGAAACGGGGUCUAAUACCGGAUGUGCCUGUCUGGUCGCAUGGCUGGGCGGGGAAAGAUGUUUUUUCGGCGGGGGAUGGGCUCGCGGCCUAUCAGCUUGUUGGUGGGUUGACGGCCUACCAAGGCGUCGACGGGUAGCCGGGCUGAGAGGGUGGGCGGCCACACUAGGACUGAGAUACACCCCAGACUCCUACGGGAGGCGGCAGUGGGGGAUAUUGCACAAAGGGCGCAAGCCUGAGGCAGCGACGCCGCGUGGGGGAUGGAGGCUUUCACGCUGUAAACCCCUUUCGGCGCGGGACAGGCUUCGUUUGGCGGGGUUGAGGGUCCCUUAAAGAAGCCCGGCUAACUAUGUGGCAGCAGCCCCGCAAAUACGUAGGGCGCGAGCGCUUCCCCGCAUUAAAAGGCGUUACGCGCUCGGAAGUGGCCUGACGGGCCUUCUGUAAAAAGCCGGCUUCACAUCUCCUCGUCAAGAGGAGGCCGGGAGCCCGAUUUCUUCACGGUUGCCUUUAUUCCCGCCCAAAAGAGGAAUUGUCAGUAUCAUGAGAUUUUGAUGCCGAGGCUGUCUCUUGGCCGUUCCUGAUCUGAGAGCGAUACCCUGGGGAGUAACAUGAUUAAUCCCCCUGUAGGCCGAGGGCGGAGUCCACAUUGUGCUCCUCCUGGGGGAUCAAUUGGUCUAGUGUCUGAUGCGGAAUUUCUCCAUCAACCUAUAGGAGUCGAUAGCGGC